rnacentral:rRNA from 1 species
CCCUUAGAUGUUCUGGGCCGCACGCGCGCUACACUGAUGCAUUCAACGAGCCUAGCCUUGACCGAGAGGUCCGGGUAAUCUUUGAAACUGCAUCGUGAUGGGGCUAGAUUAUUGCAAUUAUUAAUCUUCAACGAGGAAUGCCUAGUAAGCGUGAUUCAUCAAAUCGCGUUGAUUACGUCCCUGCCCUUUGUACACACCGCCCGUCGCUCCUACCGAUUGAGUGUGUUGGUGAGGAGUUCGGAUUGGCUCUUAGUGGUGGUUCGCCACCACCUAGAGCUGAGAAGUUCUCCAAACCGCCCCACUGAGAGGAAGGAGAAGGCGUAACA